CUCUCUGGUGAUGAUCAAUAAGAAAACUUUCGUUCUACUGAGAAUAAUUUCAUGCGGAAUGUUUUUGGAGACCUGAACUGAAGAGAC